UACGAAGGGGGCUAGCGUUGCUCGGAAUCACUGGGCGUAAAGGGUGCGUAGGCGGGUCUUUAAGUCAGGGGUGAAAUCCUGGAGCUCAACUCCAGAACUGCCUUUGAUACUGAAGAUCUUGAGUUCGGCAGAGGAGACUGGAAUUCCUGGUGUAGCAGUGAAAUGCGUAGAUAAUCAGGAGGAACACCGAUGGCGAAGGCAGGUCUCUGGGCUGACACUGACGUCAUGCCACGAAAGCGUGGGGAGCAAACAGGAUAGAAAC
rnacentral:rRNA from 1 species